CCGUUAGUAGUGGCGAGCGAAAGCGGAUUGAGCCUAAACCGGUGGCGUGUGAUACCUGUCAGGGGUUGCGUUGUCGGGGUUGUGAGACCCACUUAUCACAUCUGACAGUGUGGUGAAGAGUGAUAAAAUUUGUGGUUAGUUGAAUGGUGUGGGAAAGCCAACCGUAGAGGGUGAGAGUCCCGUAAGCGAAAACUGCAAGUCUCUUUGUGGUGUUCUCGAGUAGCGGCGGACUCCUGUAAUCUGCCGUGAAUCUGCCAGGACCACCU
rnacentral:rRNA from 14 species